rnacentral:lncRNA from 1 species
AAAACCCGAAUUUGGGAUUUCUAUUUCUCCUUUAAGCUCAUUUUCAGUAUAAAAACAUAUUAGGAGGAUAAAUGUAGUAAUGUGGAUGCUUGAACGUUGGAGUAUGUUUGUUAAAAUUAGUCUAAUUUUCUUAUCACUACAUUGUGUAUGGGCUAAGGAUUCCCAAGGAUCUUUCUUGGUCAAUAAUACUAAGAAAGUAGGGAUGAAGUCGUAACCGUUUCCUUCCCAAAGGAUAAAGUUGUACCCAUUUCAUUCUCAAAAUAGGAUUAGGGAUGGAACAACGCGAUGACACAUCAUGAUCGAUUAUUUCCAUCCUCAAAUACCUACUGACAAAGCUUAAUAUUGCAGAUUAUUUUCCAAAUUUAAAUAUCGUGUGUCUCAUGGUCGAGCACGAUUGAUGUGUUAUAAUUGUCAGGGGUGUUGUCCUGUACUGUUGAAACUGGUAGCCUUAUAAUUAUUGCUACGACUCAUAAGUUGAACUUUAGACAACUCACUUGUCCUAGGUGCUACUAUUGUUUUCUUUAGGCUUCAGCUUCUUAAUAUUUGCUUCCNNNNNNNNNNNNNNNNNNNNNNNNNNNNNNNNNNNNNNNNNNNNNNNNNNNNNNNNNNNNNNNNNNNNNNNNNNNNNNNNNNNNNNNNNNNNNNNNNNNNNNNNNNNNNNNUAUUUGGUAUCAACACGUCAUUUACUUUUAAAUACAAAUAAGGUUUACACUAAGACAUCAUUUACCCCAAUACGCUGUUUGAUUAUUUGAAUGUGCCCUCGUUCCUUAUUAUUAGCCUUUUAUACAUUUUUUUAACAAGCAUGAGUUAAUCCACUCUAUGUUUUCUUUCCCUCAGAUGAUCGUGUGUUAUGUAUCUUAUUUCCUUGAUUUGAUUUUUGUGUUUACCCCUUUAAUUUUUCUUCCUUUCUUUCUCGGUUGAUCAUGCAUUAAUUUUUUUUUGUUUAUUCUUGCUUUGCAUGUGAACUCGUUGGAGUCCAAACGAACCCUUUGCAUUCCUCAAUGGGCCAAUAAGGCCCAUCCGUUGAGUCAAACCCGGAAAAGAGUCUAAGGUUACAUAAUGCGGAUAAAGGAGGCGAAAGAAUAAGGAAUGGAUUAAACCCCAUUACUUGAAACCGAAAAGAGAUUAAAAUCUCUUUUAUUUGUUUAUUUACUCAUUUCAUUGUCCUUAUCUUUUUAUUUGUUUGAUUAUUUAUCCAUUCAUUCAGGCCAAGAAGCCAAAGUUGUAUUUAAUACAGGUGGAGCAAGACUCGAGCCAAAGGCUCAAAAAUAUUUUAGGACAUGUGAAAUGGGUCGGAAGCCCAACUAAACUAAGCCAGGUCUCGUUGAUUUGGGCCCAAUGGCCUAAAUCCUUUACUUUCUCCCCCUUCCCAUUUUAUGUGUUUAUUUGUUUAUUAGUUUUGUUUAGACUUAGUUAAAAUCCUUACUAAGUCGCCUUAACCUAUUUUACACAAGUCUUUUAUUUUAAAUCAAAUCACUACUUCAACAGAUUAAUCUUUUCAGAAGUUAUUCAAAGACGUCUUCAAACAGUCCAGAUAACCGCAAGUUAGGGGACGUUUUAGGUGCCUAACACCUUCCUAAAAUGUUAAUAAGAACCGCUUACUCAGAAUCUCUUAACUUAAACGAUUUUUCUAUUUUUAAUCAUUUGAAGUAACUCUCUAAAAGUUUCUUAAUUCCUUUUUUCAAAAUUAAGUGGUGACUCUCUCAAAAAGUCAAAUUUUUCGUUAAAACAGAAAUGGAAACUCUGCUGGGAAAAUCUAAUUAGGUUCUAACCAAAUGUUUGAUUUUGUCUUUUGAUUAACUGUUUAUGUGUUCAUGUGUUUCGAUUCUGUAGAGUUUAAUUAUUGCAUCGCAUGGCAUAUUCCUACAUUAUUUAAACUGUUUUGGGGUUUCGUGGGUAUCCCGACCCCUAUUGAUCAAUUCCAAAAAUGUGUUAGAAAUANNNNNNNNNNNNNNNNNNNNNNNNNUCUGAUAGCUGUUUGUAUUUUCAAACUCAAGUUGUCCGCUUGAGAACCAUUGUUCAAACGCACUCUAGACAUCGAGGAUAGAACGAAAUCAAAACCCUAUUUUAGGCAUGAGCCUAGGACGAUCCAAUAAUCGAGCGGGGUAUUGGGCCCAUUAGAAAACUUACCCUACGUCUAUUGACCCUGAGUCAAUAACAGACGGAUCAUACUAUUGUGUUGGAGAAAUAUAUGUUUGUCUAAAUUCAAUCCAUUACCCUUCGGGGUUGGGGAAAGGCUUAUCUUUGUCUUCUUUUAUGUAGAUAUGGCUCAAUUUCAUUCCCGUGAAAAGUUCAAGAUGGUUACCAAAUUUGAUGAUUACCUGAAAUUGUGGUGGGAUUACAUGGGUCCAGAUGAGAGAAAAAUUGUUAGGACACAUAUCGGGCACCUUCGGUGAUUGAAAUAGACGCUUGACCUGAAAUGAUCCACGUGCUUACGACUUUUCGGGAUGAUCAGAAUAUGGUGUUUUGCUUCGGGGAUGUGGAAUUGACUCCUACCAUCGAAGAAGUGUUAAUUUGCUAUGAGAGUAUUGAAAAAUGUUUCAAGAGAAAGGAAAAUCCUGAUAAGAAUAUUUUAGUUCCUGCCGUGUGGGACCGUCAAACAAUCAAAGAGGCAUUUUUAACUGACGACGACACCUGGCUAGGGGAACGUAAUAGAGCAAGUAUCACUUUUCAGGAGUUGUAUCAUCGGUUUGGAAGAUUCAAUGCCUUCCACAAAUUUGGACAUAAAUUUGAGUCCGAAGCAAAAUGGAAGGAGAUGAGAGCCUUUGUGUUUGCGGUAGGUCUACUCAGAACCAUGGUGUUCCCACAGGGGGAAAAUGGCACAAUUCAUCCAAGGGUUGUUACGGUGGCUCAUGCACUUUUCUUCGGAGUAGAUUAUGAUUCCACCAAGGUAUUCCACAAUUUAGCUCCCAUGAUUGUUACCGACAUAUAUCGAUCCUUGGGAAGGUGUCAAGUCAAAAAUCGUUUCUUUCAAGGUUGCAACCUCAUAUUACAAUGGUGGAUGAUGAAGCAUUUGGUAAAGGAUUCAAGAAUGGUACAACCUGAUCAUAAAACAAGGGUGGAUAUGCUGGCUUCGCACGACAUGUGGUUGUUUCUACAUAAGUUCAAAAGGAAAGCAUCUUUCGAAUUUUGGUCUAAGACUUUCGGGGAAUUGAGAGAUGACGAUGUGCAAUGGUCCAUUAACUCUCUUCAUUCAGGGAAAUACUCUAUUCGAGGGGGCAAGUGGCCUUUUCUAGUUCUUUCCGGUCUCAGGGGGACCCGUCCCUACAAUCCUGGUAGAGUUCUUAGGCAAUUCGGGAUCAAACAGGAGGCACCACAAAUAGAUUCCAUGCUUAGGUUUUUCACCGAAUACGAUGAAAGUGAGUCUCCGCUCAAAGACGACAUGGUAAAUGGAUGGAGAAGAAGAAGGUGGAUGGAAGUGAAUUUUCGUAUAAAGCAUGACCCUGAAGUCAGUGACACUUACAAGGAAUGGUUGAAAAAGAGUCUCGCCGAAGCGUUGAUUUUGGGACCAAAUGUGCCCAUUCGGGUUGUGGAUGUAGAAUCCGAGCAUCAAAUUUGGCUCUACAGGCUAUAAGAUGAGUUCCAAAAAAGUGAAAUCGCACACCGGCAGAUACACAUGGAGGACGCUUUAACCAUACGUAUGUUGAGGGAAGAUAUGAAAAGAGCUAGGCAAGAAGCUGAUGAUGCCAGGCAAUGUCUAAUCGAUUUGGAUGAUAGCAUGGCCUCCUAACUUGAUAGUAUAUGGAAAAUGACUUACGACUGCAAGGUACAAUUAUGCGGGAGUCAUCUUAUCAUCAAUAGAUAUCAAAUAGAAUAGGAGGUAAACAAGACAAAGAAGGCAAAGGCAGACGAAGGAGCCUCAAGUAGCUAGUUUUUCUAUUUCCCCUGCGCGGAAACUUAUCUUCUUUCAUGUUAUUUCCCUUUUCCCCUAAAGAUUGUAUCCCUUUUUUGUUAUCUUUUGUAGGCAUUUAUGCCCUUUUUCGUGUCUAUAUAAGUUGGGGGUUAAUGGAUUGACUUCGAGGAAGGAUAUAUUUUCUUUAAAAAUCGUUAGGCCUGAAGCCUUGGCUCAAAAAGGGUCACCCCAGCUAGGAUACGUGUUAUUAUAAUGUUUUUGUGUGAUAUAACUAUUUUAUGUGCUUAUUUACGUGUGUUUGGAUCAAAGGCAAGUUCAUCCACUAUGUCCUAUGGAUGAAUUUGGCUAUGACUCAAGCAACUCUAUGUGGUUAUUUCCUGUCAAAUAUUUUGCAUUACUUAUCAUAUAUGGAAACUAACACAUCUGCCUUUGAGUUGGUUUACUUUACAUAUAAUAGAAAUUACUCUGUGUUGAUAUAAGCUGUCAGAACAUCCCUACUGCACCCGAUCGAAAACGCACAAAAUCUCAUCCUCUGACCAUCAUUCAAAAAUGACAGGAAAUAACGAAGAAAGCGCACUGACUAUCCGGGACAAUGUGAUAGCAGAACAGAAUGAAAUGAUUGCAGAACUUGCAGGAAAGUUAGAAAUGCUUCAGGAGGAAAUAAAUCGCACUCGAGAUUUGGCUAACUUGGCCAUCAACGUCAAUGCCCCCGCUACAGGAGGACACGGGACUCCACUACAAAUCCUUCCCCUCAGCACACCUAUUCUCAGGGAUCAACCAAAUAACAUAUCGCCAUCUCUGCCCCUCCACUUGUCCAAAUCACUAAUCGCAAAAAUAACCCAGAUACCUACCAUCCACAAAAUCCAUCUCUAACCUCACAAAAUCUAUCUCCGAAUCCAUUCUCAAAUCCCCAAAACACAUUUUCAAAUCAAGAAAAUUCAUUCCCAAAUCCACAAAAUUCACUCCCAAACCCGCAAAAUCCAUCAAAUCUAUCCCUAAAUCCACCAAAUUCCUUUCCAAAUCCGCAAAAUCCUUCUCAGAUUCCACCAAACUACUCACAAAUUCCACAGAACCUUUCCAAAUUCCAAAACAUCCUCCCCACUUACCAACCAAGUUCCUUUCUUCCGCAAAAUUAAGCCUCCCUUCCAAAUCCCCCUCAAGCUAUCAUAUUCCUUGGUAUUUAUGAACCCCUUCCUAACCCCGAGAUGGAUUAUUAUGAGGAGAAGGAGAAAGAGUAGAGGACCCAUCAUGAAAGAAAUUUACUAGCUGUGAAGGAAUAGAUCAUGAGGAUCAAAAGUCUCAUGGGGCCAGAGACCACGACGGUUUGGGGUAUGACGAUUUAUGUGUUCACCCUAGAGUAGACCUACCAGAUGGGUACAAAGUCCCUAAGUUUGAAAUGUUUGAUGGUACCGGAAAUCCAAUGGCCCAUCUGAGAAGGUACUAUGAGCAACUGGUAGGGAUAAGGAAAAAUGAGGCGUUAUUGAUGCACCUAUUUAGUCGAAGUUUGAGUGGCGAAGCCUUGGAGUGGUUCAUGUCUUAGGAGCUGAAAAAAUGGAUUGGUUGGAAAGCAUUGGCCAAGGGUUUCCUUGACCGAUUUUCAUUCAACAUUGAAAUAGUCCCUGACCGAUAUUCACUAGAUCAGAUCAAACAGAGGAAUGUUGAGAGUUUUGACACUAUGCUUUUCGUUGGAGGAAAAAAGCCGCCAAAAUGCAACCCCCCAUAUCCGAGGAGGAAAUGGUAUCCGCAUUCUCUAGUGCUCAAGAAGGAAAAUAUUAUACCAGGAUGGUGUCCGCUAUCAGGGCAACUUUUGUGGAUUUGGUAAAAAUAGGAGAAUCAUUGGAAGAAGGUAUUUGGACAGAGAAAAUUGCCAAAAUCCCGACGUCGUCUUGUACUGGCAUAUUCUUGAAAAAGAAAAAGAAAGAUGUAGGUGUGAUUUUUGCUAAUCCUGUUGCGAAAAUGAAAAAGAGGUUCAACUCUAGGAAUGUUUUCUCUUCUUCGCCGUCACCAACUUUCAACAUGUAUUCUAUGCCCACCCCCAAUACCAAGCUCCACAGCCAAAUACCUCACCUCAGUACCAAACUCCACUCCCAAAUAUCCAAUCCUCAUACCAAGCUCCAUAGCCAAAUAUCUUUCCCCAAUACCCAGCUCCAUCUCCAAAUUAUCAGUCUCAUUUCCAAUCCACUCCUCCAAAUAACCGAACAAAUUUCCAAGCACCUCCAAAUUAUCAUCAAGUACCUCCUCCAACAAAUCAAAGCCAGUACAACCCACAGCGGCCAAACAACAAAAAAAAACCUCCCUGAAACUUCACCCCGCUAGCUGAAAGUCGCACCCAAUUGUUUGAAAGAUUGAAGAAUGCUGGUCAUUUAUAACCAAUACAGCCAAGGCAUAUCAAUCCCAACUCUUGAUUUUUUAAUGCAAGUCAACAUUGUGCCUAUCAUUCAGGAGCAGCGGGGUAUAGUACAGAGGAUUGUGGCUACCUGAAACAUAAGAUCCAGGAUUUAAUCAAUCAGAAGGUCAUCACGCUCCAGGCACCUACACCAAAUAUUAAUAGUAAUUCAUUGCCCAACAAUGGGGGAUCUACAGUUAACAUAAUUGAAAUAUAGGGUGAAUGGGCAUCUUGCAAGACCAUUACCCAGGUGAACUAUGAAAAGCACAAAUGAGCAGAAGAGGUAGGAAAGAGAAGGCUGUAGAUGCCUUGAGUAUCAAUGAGAAAGCCUAAUUUAUAGUGAUGACUGCACUGACUCAAGUGUACGCUCCCCCGCCAAGGAAAGAAUUUAUUGUACAGACCGCUACUAACCAAGGGAUGACGCGGUCGGGACGAUGCUUUAUCCCUGAGGAAUUGACGAACAAAAAGGAUUCACAAAAAAGGCCAAUCACUGAAGGAGAGGUUAUGCAAUUUUGGAGGUGUAUGUAGCCAAAAGAUUACGCGAUUAUGAAACAUUUAGAGAAGACACCAGCCCAAAUCUCUAUUUUGGCACUAUUAAUGAGUUCGCGAUAUCACCUACAAGCUUUAUCGAAGGUCUUGGAUGAAGCGUAUGCUCCCAUAGGAACGAGUGUCGAGAACCUGGCUGCGAUAAUAGAAAACAUUAGGGGGAAUCAUCGCAUAUCAUCAGUGAUAAAGAAUUGCCGUUUGAAGGAGCGAUGCACAACAAAGCCUUGCAUGUCGCUGUCAUUUGCCGAGAUUAUGUGAUUAAUUAGGUAUUAAUAGAUGAUGGAUCUGGUGUGAAUAUUUCCCCCCUCUUUACAUUGGUUCAAAUGGGCUAUGAUAUGGGGAAAAUUCAUCAAAGCUACAUAAAUGUGAGAGCAUUCGAUGGAGGGCAGAGAGAUACCAUAGGAGAGAUUGAUUUGCACAUCUAAAUGGGGCCUGUUGAGUUCAAGACUAAGUUUCAUGUUGUAGAUAUCCAUCCUGGAUACAACCUGCUCUUUGGAAGACCAUGGAUACACAGUGCAAAAGCAGUUUCAUCAUCCCUUCAUCAAUUAUUGAAGUUUAUUUGGGAAGAUCAUGAAGUAGUCAUCCCAGGAGAAGAAAGUCGAGCGGACCAUCCCAAUGGUUAUGUGACGGUGAUUGAAGAUGUUCCAAAAGGUAGCAGUUUCUACACAGUGGAAAUUGUAAAUGCUGCAGACAGAGAUUCGACGCCCAAAGUACCAAUGCCUUCUGUCUACGAAAUGAUUGCAACAGUGAUGUUAAGAAAUAGGUUCAAACCUGGUCGAGGCUUGGGCAAGAAUUUACAAGGAAUUAUUGAGCCUAUUGCAAUCCCAGAGAGAGGAUUUAAGUACGGGUUAGGAUAUCAGCCUACCAGGAAGGAUAGGGUUGAGAAUGAGCUAGAGAAGAGUCUAUUUGGGCCCUUACCACUCCUGUUCCAGUCAUUUCCUGUUCGAUGGUCUUGGGGAUGGGAUAGAAGAUUUGUUCAAAGGAUGUAAUGCUGCACCAGAAGAUCUCCUAAAGUCCAGCGGGGUGAUGCAGAUUGCGCCAGGGGAGGCCUUGAAAAAUUGGACCUCCGCUACACUCAUAACUCAUCUCCCAUCGUGGUAGAUGAAAGGACAAUUACUGAUAGUUUUUAAAAUCGGUGAUGAUCUGGAGGAGGCCCCAUGAUCCACCUUUUAUAUCUCAAAACUUCUUUUUCAUAUCUUACUGCUUUCAAAAAGGCAUGGACUUGUAUUCGCGCAAGUCAUGAGCCACGAUUUUGUAAUUAUCUCCCAAAUUUCAAUGAAGAGGCCUUCAUUUAUUUAGAAACUUCUAUUAUUUCUAAAACACUCCUAGUCAUAUAGUUUGUUAUUAUCUUGUUAUCAUCUAACUUGGUUUGUUUGUCCAUUACAAUAACAACAGCUUAAAAUCUACCAGUGUCGUGUCAUGUCAAAGCUUAAAUGAACAAAAUGAGGGGAACAAUGAUGAUUGGAAGAACGAUGAUGAGGAACGACUAGUCGAAGAUAUAGAGGAAUUUUAGAAUCACGAAAAACCCAAUCUGAAGGAAACUGAAAUAGUCAACUUGGGAGAUCACAAUGAAAUCAAAGAGACAAGUGUCAGUAUCUACCUGGCGGCGCCACAAAGGAAAGAGCUCAUCCACCUAUUGUGGGAAUACAUCAAUGUGUUUGCUUGGUCCUAUGAUGAUAUGCCAGGGUUGAGCACCAGCCUUGUGUCACAUAAGUUGCCAAUAAAUCCGGAGUUUGAUCCAGUCAAGCAAAAACUACGGAAAUUCAAACCAGAUUUAAGUCUAAAGAUCAAGGAGGAAAUGAUAAAACAAAUCCAGUAUAAUGUUGUCGAGGUCGCAAAAUAUCCGACGUGGUUGGACAACAUCAUCCCUGUGCCGAAGAAGGACGACAAGAUUUGAAUUUGUUUUGACUAUAGAGACUUGAAUAGAGCAGUCCUAAAGAUAAUUUUCUGUUGCCCAACAUCCACAUUCUCAUCGAUAACUGUGCAAAACAUGAAAUGCAGUCAUUCCUUGAUUGUUUCGCCGAGUAUUAUCAUAUAUUGAUGGAUGAGGAAGAUUUAGAAAAAAUGGCUUUUGUUACACCCUAGGGUGUUUAUCAUUACAGGGUAAUGCCGUUUGGUCUGAAAAAUGCAGUGCAACAUAUAUGAGGGCUAUGGCGACGAUUUUUCAUGAUAUGAUCCAUAAAGAGAUUGAGGUCUACGUGGAUGACGUAAUUAUCAAAUCCCCCGAGAGUUUGGAUCAUCUGACUCAUCUGGAGAAAUUUUUCAACAGAUUAAGAAGGUACAGUUUGAAAUUAAACCCUGCUAAGUGUGCUUUUGGUGUGCCAUCUGGAAAGUUGCUGGGGUUCAUAGUCAGUAGAAGAGGCAUCGAGUUAGACCCAUCCAAAAUCAAGACAAUUCAGAAUUUGCCACCGCCAAAGACUAAGAAUGAAGUUAUGAGUUUCAUGGGUCAUUUGAAUUACAUUAGUACGUUCAUCGCACAAUCAACAGUUAUAUGCGAGCUAAUUCUCAAGAUGUUGAAGAAAAAUGCAUUGAACGAGUGGACAGAAGAAUGUCAGAGAGCUUUUAACUGCAUAAAGGAAUACUUGUCUGGACCGCGGGUUUUGGUUCUACCAAGAGAAGGAAUUCCAUUAUUAUUUACCUGUCAGUCUCAGAAAAUGCUUUCAGAUGUGUCCUCGGAUAACAUGAUAAUACCGGUAGGAGAGAGAAAGCCAUUUACUACUUGAGUAAAAAGUUCACGCCAUAUGAAGCCUGUUACACUCUUGUAGAAAGGAUAUGUUGUGCUUUGACUUGGACGACACAAAAGUUGAGGCAUUAUCUGUCGUCCUACACAACAUACCUCAUCUCGAGAAUGGAUCCAUUAAAGUAUAUUUUCCAAAAGUCCAUGCCUACGAAAAAGCUAGCAAGUGGAACAUGUUGCUGAGUGAGUUUGACAUUGUGUAUAUAACCCAAAAAAGCAAUCAAGGGGCAAGCCUAAGCAGAUUCUUUGACAGAGAACCCAGUUGAUGAGGAAUAUGAGACACUUCGAACUUACUUUCUAGAUGAAGAAGUUUUGUUCGUAGGAGAAGACAUUACAAAGAUUUACCCCGGAUAGAGGCUAUUUUUUGAUGGGGCGGUCAACUUCAAAGGUUCAGGAAUUGGAGCAGUUUUGGUGUCAAAAAUAGGCCAGCAUUAUUCGGUAACUGCUAAGUUACGUUUUCUAUGCACCAGUAACAUGGAUGAAUAUGAGGCUUGCAUUCUGGGUCUCAAAUUGGCACUUGAUAUGGGUGUUUGUGAAUUGUUAGUCAUUGGAUAUUCAGAUUUGCUGAUUCACCAGGUACGGGAAGAAUGGGCGGUAAAAAAUCCUAAGAUCACUCCUUAUGUGGAGAUGGUGCAAGAAUUAUGUGAAAGAUUCAAGGAAGUUGAUUUUAGGCAUAUCCCACGGAUACAAAAUGAGUUUGCUAAUGCUUUGGCUACUAUAUCUUCCAUGAUUCAGCACCCGUAUCAGAGUUACAUUGAUCCUUUGGAAAUAAGCUUGAAGGAGCAACCUGCGCAUUGUGUACACGUGGAAGAGGAGCCUGAUGGAAAGCCUUGGUACUAUGACAUUAAAAGGUAUUUGGAAUCUGGAAUAUAUCUUGUAGAUGCUAGUAACAACCAAAAGAAGACAAUCGGUGUUUGGCAAAGAAUUACUUUCCAAGUGGGGAAAUUCUUUUUAGGAGGACUCCUGAUUUGGGAUUCCUAAGAUGCGUCGAUGCUGUGGAAGCCAACAAAUUGAUAAAAGAGGUACACGCUGGAAUUUGUGGGCCCCACAUGAAUGGGUUUGUCCUUUCCAGAAAGAUCCUGAGAACCGAUUACUUCUGGAUGACUAUGGAAAAUGAUUGUAGUAAGUAUGUACAGAGAUGUCCAAAAUAUCAAAUACACGGAGAUCUGAUUCGAAUGCCUCCACACAAGCUUCACACAAUGAAUUUGCCUUGGCCUUUUGUAGCUUGGGGCAUGGAUGUCAUCGGACCAAUAGAGCCAUUAGCGUCGAAUGGGCAUAGAUUCAUUUUGGUUUCCAUUGAUUAUUUCACUAAGUGGGUUGAAGCGGCUUCGUACAGAGCCGUCAGUAAGAAAGUGGUUGCGGAUUUCAUCAGGAAUAACUUGAUUUUCCAGUUCAGAGUAUCGAAAUCGAUCAUUACUAAUAAUGGGGCAAACUUGAAUAGUCACUUGAUGAAAGAAAUUUGUGAUCAGUUCAAGAUUGUGCAUCACAACUCGACUGCAUAUCGCCCCCAAAUGAAUGGAGCUGUGGAAGCGGCCAUCAAGAAUAUCAAGAAGAUCUUGAGAAAGAUGGUCGAAAAUGAUAGAUCAUGGCAUGAUAUGUUACCUUACGCUUUACUGGGGUAUCGCACAACAGUUCGAACCUCCACCGGGCCGACCCCCUAUUUACUUGUCUAUAGGAAUGAAGCUGUGAUACCUGCUGAAGUUGAAAUACCUUCCCUAAGGAUUAUUUAGGAAGCUGGACUAAGUAACGAAAAAUGGGUUUGUGCUCGCUAAGAAUAACUCAUGUUGAUUGAUGAAAAGAGAAUGGUCGUUGUAUGCCAUGGUCAGUUAUACCAACACAGGAUGGUUCGUACCUUUAACAAGAAGGUGAGGGCUCGGGCAUUUGAAGUGGGGCAACUGGUUCUCAAAAGAAUAUUCCCUCACCAAGAGGAGUACAAGGUUCUAUCUGGAGGAGUACAAGUUCGCUCCAAACGGGCAAGGGCCAUACAUAGUUUGCAAGGUGCUAUCUGGAGGAGCUCUGAUUUUUUCUGAGAUGGAUGGCACGGAGUGGACCAAACCAAUCAAUUUCAACGCGGUAAAGAGAUAUUAUGUUUGAAAGACAUUCUAGCUUUUGUGUUUCUUUAGUUAAUUUACCUGUAAGUGCAUUUGUAAUAAUGUUGUUUUCUAUUAUGUGACUAUCUAGAGUCCCUUCCUCUUAUGUACGAACUACGUUUGACCAGAAUUCCCAAGAAAGGGAUACGUAGGCGGCCUAUGUCGGCUUCGGUCAACCCCUUAGGAUAAUUUAUCCCUUUCUCUUAUGUAUGAACUACGUGAUGACCUGAAUUCCCAACAAAAGGGAUACGUAGGCGGCCUAUGUCGGCUUCGGUCAACCCAUUAGAUUUUUAUAUAUAUCCCUAGCGUAGUCCUGAACUACAUUUGACCUGAUUCCUGCUUCAAUGGGAUGCGUAGGCGCCCCAACGGCUCGGUCAUAUAACCCCAGGAAAUGGAAACUGGGGAAGAAUCUUUGAGAAGGAAUCUCAAAAAUUCACAAGAGAAGAUCGACAUCCAACAAAGAGAAUGAAGAUCAGGAAAGACUUCAGAUUUACUCGGUUUGGUAUCAUCUCAAACAACUUUAAACUCGGUCAGAAAUUUUAAGGAAGACCUCAAAAUUUCCACCAAAUGCUGGAACAUAUUCCAAAUUCCCCAGUACCAGUGGUUAAAGUCAAGCUUUGGAAGCCACCAACUGUAACAAAGUCUGGGUAGACUCAAUUUUUGUCUAUGAUAGAACUACUUGAAGAAACCCUCCAACAAUGAUCAUGAGUUUUGGAAACCAUCCGUCGAAUAUAGUCAAAACCAUGCGGAAGACGUUUGUUGAGCUAGUACUUGCCUAGACAUCAUUUGGGAUGGAGUGUCAGCAUGGAAGUCCUGAUAUGGUGGAAUGCCCAAGAGGUGGCAAAGAGUAAAUCAAGGAUCGAAGAAGGUCAACACGGAGUAGUUUCACUCAAACUAAUCAUUUUCUGUGGGUGCAGGGACCAAUACACAAAAAUGAGAGUCUCUUUCAAAAAUCCCCGAGUAAAUUGGGAGCCACACCAGAGCACUAAUCUGAAGAACGGUGUUUUUGGGUAGCCCUAAAAAUGGGUUUAGUACCCAUAUAUUGAAGGCCUUUUGAAGUGUCCAUCCCAUUUCUUGAGAUCAUGGAGGACAAAAAUAGUGUCUUGUUUUCUUUACAAAUAUUGUAUUUAGAAUUUUUCUAAAAUACAGUCACUAGCAAAAGCGACUUUGUGUCUACUAAUCAUCUACCUUGAGUACGGUACAUGUAGAAAAUAGGCCACUGACGAAUAAAGCCAGGUAAAAUUAUUUUAUCAUUGCCGUAAAGGCCAUUAUAAAUUAUUGUCGCAAAAGCCAUUGCAUAUCAUUGCCGCAAAGGCCACUACAUAUCAUUGCCAGAAAGGCCACUACAUAUCAUUUCCGCAAAGGCCAUUACAUAUCAUCACCGCAAAGGCCAUUGCAUAUCAUUGCCGCAAAGGCCACUACAUACCGUUGCCGCAAAGGCCAUUGCAUAUCAUCGCCGCAAAGGCCAUUGCAUAUAAUUGCCACAAAGGCCAUUGCAUAUCAUUGUUGCAAAGGCCACGACAUAUCAUUGCUGCAAAGGCCAUUACAUAUCGUCGCCACAAAGGCCAUUGCAUAUCAUUGCCGCAAAGGACACUACAUAUCAUUGCCGCAAAGGUCACUACAUACCAUUGACGCAAAGGCCGCUACAUAUCAUUGCCGCAAAGGCCACUACAUAUUAUUGCCACAAAGGCCAUUACAUAUCAUUGCCACAAAGGCUAUUACAUAUCUUUUGAUGCACUAGACACAGCGCUGGCGUUAAGGAUAUCAUCAUCAUUCAAUAUCCGUUGAUGUGCUAGACACAACACUGACGUCGAGGAUAUCAUCAACAUUUAAUAUAUCUGUUGACACGCUAGAUACACACUGGCAUCGAGGAUAUCUCAUCAUUUUAUGAAUCAGCAUUUGAAUGCAUCAAGAGCACACAAUUUGAAGGGACGCAUUUAAGUCGUUAUCUAAGGAUAAAUGAUAUAUAAGGUUUCCUAGAAAUUGACAAUUUGAGGAUCAUAUAUAAGUCAUAUUAUUUGAAACCGGAUAAUGUGCAAGAUCACCUAUGAGUUGAUAGCUUGUAGUUAAUCCGUAAGCCACAACAACAUCCUAACCGGUUAGUGUGCAAGAUUGCCCAAAAGUCGAUAGUCCGAAGGUUAUCCAUAAGUCGCAACUACAUCCUUACCGGAGAAUAUGUAAGAUUAUCAAAUUGAUAUGUCCGAGGGUUCUCUAUAAGCCGCAUCAUAUACAAGAUCGAUUAUGUGCAGGAUUACCCAAAGACUAACAAUUUGAGGGAUUAUCUAUAAGUCAUGUUGUAUCCAAGAUCGGAUGAUGUGUAGGAACACCUGAAAGCUAGAGAUUGGAAGGAUAUCUGUAAGCCAUAUUUUAUACAAAGUUGGACAACGUGCAGGAUUACCUAAAAGCGAACAAUUCAAAGGGUACCUGUAAGUCGCCUCGUAUCCAACAUCAGAUAAUGCGCAAGAUUAUCCAAAGAUUGACAAUUUAAAGGAAAUUUAUAAAUCAGUCAUCAGCUAUAAAUGGAGAGGUUAUCAUUCUACAUACAACAAGUGAUAUAGGUAACCAAAAGGGUUUCCACACCACCAUAAGAUUACACGAUUGUAGGGACCGUUCUGCAAAAAGUAUCACCGGUGUCCAAAAGGGCCACCCCACUUUGAAGGCAUAUUCAACCGACAAAUAUCAUAAUUAUACAGCAACCAAGAGGGUUGUUGUGUUUGUUAUUGCCAGUUAUUUCAUUCCAAAUAGGUACAUGAAGAGAUGAAUCCGCUUUUCAGGCCACAACUAACGUAGAGAUAUGGUAAAAAACUACAUAACCCUUUCGUGAAUUAUGUUUAGCACUAACACUUUUUGCUUGAAUCAUUGCCGAGAGCAUCCGAAAGGAUGAAAAUCUCAAAUCAAAACCACAAGUGCGGACGACUUCAAAUAGGAUGCAGCACAGCGUGGAACUCUUUCUUAGUAGCAAAAUGGGACAUAGUCUAAAGAGGGACGUCAAACUCUUUGGACGCGAGCUAAAGGAUGAUCACCACCACCAUCCAAACACACCCCUGUUAGAAGGCAUGUGUGUAUUUUAGGAUAUUCUGGUUUCAGCUUCACCUUCGGGAUAUUUCUAAACUCAUGUCGAGGUUAACCUCCUCUUUCUUUCAAAUUCGGGUGGCAACACACUUAGAGUUUUAGAAAUUAUGUCUGGGUAAGUUCUUACCUAUGGAUAUGACGGGCUCCACGUUCAUGGUUAAGAGGUUACAAGUCUUUUUUCUGCAGCUUGAUCGACUUGUCACCCAUCUUGAGCAAAAGAUUGUCUAAAAUAAAAGACUAUCUUUUUCUACCGAUUGAGUCGAACUACAAGAAGUCUAAUUCCUUGAGUCUCAGGGAUAUGUAGGCUAGGCUCUAUGUAGAAAACUCGACUACAUUCCAACCUCCCCCCUAAUCCCUUUAUUCCCCAAUUUCUCGGUUCUAUCAAAAACUCUAAAACCGAGAUAGUUGGUGAAUUUUCUUGAAAAUCAUGCUUAAAAUCAAGUUUUAUGAACUACAAGUGGCCUGAAUUCUCAUGAAACGUAAGAUAUAUAGAAACCUGAUACCGAGGUUCGGCCAUAACUCCAUAAACUCGUGCAAAAGCCAACCUCUUUCAGAUGUGAAUUUGCGGUCGAACAAAAAUUAAGACCGUCAACCUCCCUUUGCCCAAGGUUACUUGCAUCAACCCUACCCAAAGGGAGGGGGCAGUUGUUAACACCUAAUUUUUGCCCUCCGCGACUAAUCUUAAUCCUGAGUUUCUUCAAUUUUUAAUAAAAUCGAGAUAUUUAUUUCCUCCGAAUAAGAGUUUUGAAAAGUAUAUUUGUACGUGAUUUUGUCACUUUAAGUAGCAAUUAUAUAUUAUCAUGUUCAAUUAUGCGAUAUUAUACAAUUGGAUUACUUAAAUGUUUAUUCUAUGGAAUAUCGGAUUUUAAUUAAAGAUUAUUUUGAAAAUAAAUACACUAAUUAAAAUCUUGAUUUGAAAAUGAUCUACUUCAAAAAUGGCUUGUUAGGAGGAAUGUUACUUAAUUUUAUCAAAUCAAAGAAGCUCGGGAUUAAACUAGUUGCUAAAUUCGUUUUCAAUCUUGACUCAAUUUGGUCAAUGUAUUAAAUUAGAUUUAAUUGAAGUUGAUUUGGCUACAAUUGCAAUACAAUUGGCCGAUUAAUUUUCAAUUAGGUCAAAAUUUAAAUACAAUUGACUAAAGUCUUUAUCAAUAGGCUAUUUAUUAAAUAGUUUAAACCUACUCCUAAUUGAGGCUAUGUCUUAAAUAAUUCCACCAUCCCGAUACAAUAACCCAACAGCCUCACAAGACCAGCCCAAGCCCAAUUUCCUUUUGACUUUGCCAAAUUAGCCCCAAAUUCUCAUCAACACCACCCCAGGCCCGAUAUUUUUCAACACCAGCCCAACAACAAAGCAAUUUCAGCCCAUCAUAAAUCUUUCAUAACCCGGCUCAAUCCCCUUAUCUCCUCUCUCACAAACUUGACCUAAUCUUAUCCCACAACAAAAUAAUGAUGCCAACUCCAAAAAUCCAAAUGGGACCGACUCCAUCAGCUUCAAUAACUUGACCCGUCUUUGGCCCCCACUCCAGCUCAACCCGUACCACGAUAACCUAAUUCCAAAUUGCGACAGCGACCAACCUGUCUUUUUCACUUCGCGGAUCCGCAUGAGAAUGCUCGAGAAUCUUCUAGAAAGAAGGUUAGGUGUCACUUCUAGUGGAUCAAUUCCAUAAAUCUCGGUAGCAUUGGUACGAUUUUGUACCUAUUUGGUGGAUUUCCAUUGGUUGUGGGAGGGAAUUGGAUUUCCCUGAAUUCUAUUGGUCCACCAAUUCCGAAAUUGGUACGAGUCGCGGAUGAAAAACUGAGGCGAGGGAGAAUUGUUGAUUAUCUUUUUAUUGUUGUCCUUAUCUUUCUGUUUGUUUGAUUAUUUAUCCAUUCAUUCGGGCCAAGAAGCCAAAGUUGUAUUUAAUACAGGUGGAGCAAGACUCGAUUCAAAGACUCAAAAAUAGUUUAGGACAAGUGAAAUGGGUCAAAAGCCCAACUUGACUAAGCCAGGUCUCGUUGAUUUAGGCCCAAUGGCCUAAAUCCUUUACUUCCCCUCUUCCCAUUUUAUGUGUUUAUUUGUUUAUUAGUUUUGUUUAGACUUAGUUAAAAUCCCUACUAAGUUGCCUAAACCUAUUUUACACAAGUCCUUUUUUUUAAAAUCAAAUCACUACUUCAACAAAUUAAUAUUUUCAGAAGUUAAUCAAAGAUGUUUUCAAACAGUCCGGAUAACCGCAAGUUAUCGGACAUUUUAGGUGCUUAACACCUUCCUAAAAUGUUAAUAAGAAUCGCUUACUCAGAAUCUCUUAACUUAAACGAUUUUCAUAUUUUGAAUCGUUUGAAGUAACUCUCUAAAGGUUUCUUAAUUCCUUUUUUCAAAAUUAUGUGGCGACUCUCUCAAAAACUCAAAUUUUUUGUCAAAACAGUGCCAAUGCCAAGUACUUUAACUUCAUCAUUAUUGCCCAUUUUCAACAUCCCAAAAUUAUCUGGAGUAUAAGAAGAAAAUAAUUCUUUCUUUGGCGUAACAUGAGAUGUAGCACCAAAAUCCACAAACCAGCUAGACUCAUUGUGAACAAGAUUAAUGGCAUUCUCACCACAAGAAACAAGAAGAUCAUCAUUAGCAACAACAACAACACGAUUUUCAUUAUUGCCUUCUUUCUUUUGCCGUCUUAUAUCUCUCUUAUGCUUGUAACAAUAUUUUAUGAUAUGCCCCUUUUUGUUGCAAUAGUCACAUGUAACAUUCUUGAAUUUAGACCUUGACUUGCUUCUACUUUUAUCUCUAUCAUUUGAAUCUCUGGACUUGUUUCUCCCCCUCUCUUCAGUAACCAAAACAUCAGAGUAUGAAGAUGAAGAAGAUGAGGCCUGAGAUAUUCUUCUCAUAUCUUUAUUCAAGACACCACUCUCAACAUAUUCCAUAGUUACAAUACCACCGGGAGUAGUAUUAGUCAAAGAAACUCAAAGAGUUUCCCAAGAGUCAGGCAGAGUAUUAAGAAGCCAAAGUCCCUAAUUUCUUCAUCGAACUUUACACCCAUUCCGGACAGCUGGUUAAGGACACCCUGAAAAUCGUUAAUAUGAUUAGAAAUAGGACUGCCCUCUUUAUACCUGAUAUUCAUCAUCAAUUUCUUAAACAGGAACAACUUGUUAUUGCCAGUCUUCGAAGCAUAAAGUGUCUCGAGCUUGUCCCACAAACUUCUAGAAUGUGUCUCAUUCAAAAUAUGAUUUCUAAUAUUAUCUUCAACCCAUUGUUUGAUAUAGCCACAAACCUGUAAGUGCUCAAAUUCCCAAUUCUCAUUUGUCAUGGAUUCAGGUUUAGUAUACGCAAACACAGGUAGAUGCAUUUUCUUGACAAAUAGAAGAUCUUUCAUUUUGCCUUUCCAAGUAUGAUAGUUACUACCAUUCAAACCCACCAUCUUGCUCAUAUUUGCCUCCAUCAUUCAAAUCGACAAUCAACAAUAAUCAACGCUUUGAUACCACUUGUUAGGAAAGACGAACACACAAUCAAAGAGCCCGACAGGGUAGCAGCGAAAAAUACCCAAGACUAAACUUUUCCUUUCAACUUGAAUCAAAAGGAGAUAAGUAAACCAAGAAAAAUAAAUUAAUAUGGCAGAAAAUGAAUUACCACACAAAUGUGAUAGGGCAAGAAUAAAGGCAAUCACACAAGACACCAAAUUUACGUGGAAAACCCUUCGGUGUGAAGAGUAAAAAACCACGGGACCAAAACCUCCACUAUAAUCACCAAAGAGUUAAAAUAUUUUCCUCCAAAAUGGCCACAAAACAAGUUCCAAACAAUAAGAAACAAUACAUAAUCCACAACACCAAACACUAGAGAAAUAAAGGGGUGAAAGUGCCAAAAAUGCAGCUAUUGUUCGGGAAUGAAGAACAGGAUUUACGGGCCACCAAAACAAGAUCCGUCAGUUCCUAAUCAAAUAUUGAGAUGAGAGGAACAAGUAUUCUAAAAAUAAGCUCAAUCGGACAAGAAGCGAAGCGGGAAUCGUAAUUUGAAGUUGACAGCUGUGACUAAAAUUUAGGUACGAAAAUCAGUUUUGUUUUUCUCUCUUUGGCUGCUGAAAACUCUCUUUUUGUGAUGGUGAAUAAGACCUAAAAAAAUUAAUAAAUAUUAUCCAUAUUAAUGGUCCUAUGGGCAAAAGUGGGUUGGUCCAAAUUGGGCUUCAUUUUAUCCACAUAGGAAGGGACAAAGGCCCAUGACCCAACAAUAAUUGUCAUGGAACUUAUCAUAUCCAAAACUGUAUACAGAAUGGCUAAUUAACAUCAUCGUAUUAGUUCUAGAAUCGGGUAAUUUCCUAUACUUCCUAAUGGAUUGAUUCCAUCGAUAUAAAUCAUCUAACUCAUCGACGAGACAAAUCAAUCCAUUGACAGAACCCAUAGAAUAAGAAGAACUUUUGAGUUUUUUUAUGGGAUAAUUCGAGUCAGAUGCCUCCGCCUUAUCAGGCUCAUAAAGUAAAGACCUAAGAGACCAAUCCUUAAAACUGUACUCAUUACAAUAAUAAAAUUUGAGCCUAUGGUGAGUAUUGUACUUGUUAUUAGCUGAUAACUUGAGCUGAGACUUGAUAAACUCAGGGCUAGAGAUCAAAUCAAGCCAAGAUUUUGAAACACAUGUAAAUUUUAAGAGAGAUUUCACUGGAAGCCUAGAGAGGAUUUCAAUGAUAAGCUCCAAUGGAAGUGUUGGGAUUUUCAAGAUUGAAUGUUCCAUUCGAAACUAAGAGAAUACGGUUUAUGUGUUGCAAAAAAAAAUAUUUGAGUUUCACUGCGACUGUGGUACUCUAAAAGUCACAGAACUCUUUUAUAUUUUAAUAUUUUCUAUUUAUUUAUUUAGUUCAUUUUUUCUCUAAUAAAUAAAAAAAAUAAAUGGUCCUGUGUAUAUUAUAUAUUAUUAAGUACAAAACUUUGUUUGAAGGAUGCAAUGCUGUACCAGAAGAUCUCCCAAAGUCCAGCGGGGUGAAGCAGAUUGCGCCAGGGGAGGCCUUGCAAAAUUGGACCUCCGCUUCACUUAUAACCCAUUUCCCAUUGUGGUAGAUGAAAGGGCAAUUACAGUUUUUAAGAUCAGUGAUGAUUCGGAGGAGGCCCCGCGAUCCACCUUUUAUAUCUUAAAACUUUCUUUUCGUAUCUUACUGCUUUCAAAAAGGCAUGGACCUAUAUUUGCGCAAGUUAUGAGCCACGAUUUUGUAAUUAUCUCCCAAAUUUCAAUGAAAAGGCCUUCAUUUAUUUAGAAAAUUCUAUUAAUUCUAAAACACUCCUAGUCAUAUAUUUUGUUAUUAUCUUGUUAUCAUCUAACUUUGUUUGUUUGUCCAUUACAGUAACAGUAGCUUAAAAUCUGCCAAUGUCGUGUCAUGUAAAAUCUUAAACAAACAAAAUGAGGGGAACAAUGACGAUUGGAAGGACGAUGACGAGGAACGAUAAGUCAAAGAUAUGGAGGAAUUUGAGAAUCGCGAAAAACCCAAUCUGUAGGAAACUGAAACAGUCAACUUGGGAGAUCACAAUGAAAUCAAAGAGACAAGUGUCAGUAUCCACCUGGAGGCAUCACAAAGGAAAGAGCUCAUCCACCUGUUGCGGGAAUACAUCGACAUGUUUGCUUGGUCCUAUGAUGAUAUGCCAGGGUUGAGCACUAGCAUUGUGUCACAUAAGUUGCCAAUAAAUCCAGAGUUUGAUCUAGUCAAGCAAAAAGUGCGGAAAUUCAAGCCAGAUUUAAGACUAAAUAUCAAGGAAGAAGUGAGAAAACAAAUCCAGUCUAAUGUUAUCGAGGUCACAAAAUAUCCAACGUGGUUGGCCAACAUCGUCCCUGUGCCGAAGAAGGACGACAAGAUUCGAAUUUGUGUUGACAAUAGAGACUUGAAUAGAGCCAGUCCUAAAGAUAAUUUUCCGUUGCCCAACAUCCACAUUCUCAUCAAUAACUGUGCAAAAUAUGAAAUGCAGUCAUUCGUUGAUUGUUUUGCCGGGUAUCAUCAGAUAUUGAUGGAUGAGGAAGAUGCAGAAAAAAUGGUUUUUAUUACACCCUGGGGUGUUUAUCAUAACAGGGUAAUGAUAUUUGGUCUAAAAAAUGUGGGUGCAACAUAUAUGAGGGCUAUGACAACGAUUUUCCAUGAUAUGAUCCAUAAAGAGAUUGAGGUGUAUGUGGAUGACGUAAUUAUCAAAUCCCAUGAGAGUUCGGAUCAUCUGACUCAUCUGGAGAAAUUUUUCAAUAGAUUAAGAAGGUACAGUUUGAAAUUAAACCCUGCUAAGUGUGCUUUUGGUGUGCCAUCAGGGAAGUUGCUGGGGUUCAUAGUCAGUAGAAGAGGCAUCGAGUUAGACCCAUCCAAAAUCAAGACAAUUCAGAAUUUGCCACUGCCGAAAACUAAGAAGGAAGUUAUGAGUUUCAUGGGUCAUUUGAAUUAUAUUAGCAGGUCCAUCGCGCAGUCAACAGUCAUAUGCGAGCCAAUUCUCAAGAUGUUGAAGAAAAAUGCAUUGAACNNNNNNNNNNNNNNNNNNNNNNNNNNNNNNNNNNNNNNNNNNNNNNNNNNNNNNNNNNNNNNNNNNNNNNNNCAUUUACUACUUGAGUAAAAAGUUCACGCCAUAUGAAGCCCAUUACACUCUUGUAGAAAGGACAUGUUAUGCUUUGACUUGGAUGACACAAAAGUUGAGGAUUGUGUUUUUAACCGCAUCAAGGACUCUCGUAGUCAUUAUCUGAUUGUGUUUGUCCAUUGUUAUUGCUGGAUUGCAGUGCCAUUGUUGAGUUAGUAGCCCUCUCAAGAUCCUUUGGCUUCUCAUAUGCCAAAAGGACAAUGAGCAAGGACCGAAAUAUACGGAAGAUCCUGUGAUUCCUCGAUGAUCGUCUCGACCACUAAAAGCUUAUCCUUUUUAGUCUGUCGAAGAGAGAGUGAGGAUGAGGAUAAUAUGCCCUGCCACACUCCCCUUUAGUUUAUGAGUUAUGCCUCUCUUUUAGUCUCGAAAACCCGAAUUUGGGAUUUCUAUUUCUCCUUUAAGUUCAUUUUCAGUAUAAAAAUAUAUUAGGAGGAUAAAUGUAGUUGUGUGGAUGCUUGAACGUUGGAGUAUGUUUGUAAAAAUUAAUCUUAUUUUUUUAGCACUGCAUUGUGUACGGGCUAAGGAUUCCCAAGGAUCUUUCUUGGUCAAUAAUACUAAGAAAGUAGGGAUGAAGUCGUAACCGUUUCCUUCCCAAAGGAUGAAGUUAUACCCAUUUCAUUCUCAAAAUAGGAUUAGGGAUGGAACACGCGAUGACGCAUCGUGAUCAAUUAUUUCCAUCCUCAAAUACCUACUGACAAAGAUUAAUAUUACAGAUUAUUUUCCAGAUUUAAAUAUCGUGUGUCUCAUGGUCUAGCAUGAUUGAUGUGUUAUAAUUGUCAGGGGUGUUGUCCUGUACUGUUGAAACUGGUAGCCUUAUAAUUAUUGCUACGACUCAUAAGUUGAACUUUAGACAACUCACUUGUCCUAGGUGCUACUAUUGUUUGCUUUAGGCUUCAGCUUCUUAAUAUUUGCUUCCUAAUAAAAUCGGAGAACAUAUAAGCUCUAUAUCUUGAGAUCCCAGCGAGUCGUCAUAAUCUUGUCAACAUUUUGAUUUUACUGUUAGCUUGGUAGAGUCUUGAAUAAGUUUUCCUUUAUUUUAUUACCCAUGCUGUUUGGAUUGAUUGACCAUGAACAGUAGUAUUCUGAUCGUGGAUAACCUUCA